AGUGAACGCUGGCGGUAGGCCUAACACAUGCAAGUCGAACGGCAGCACAGUAAGAGCUUGCUCUUACGGGUGGCGAGUGGCGGACGGGUGAGGAAUACAUCGGAAUCUACUUUUUCGUGGGGGAUAACGUAGGGAAACUUACGCUAAUACCGCAUACGACCUACGGGUGAAAGUAGGGGAUCUUCGGACCUUGCGCGAUUGAAUGAGCCGAUGUCGGAUUAGCUAGUUGGCGGGGUAAAGGCCCACCAAGGCGACGAUCCGUAGCUGGUCUGAGAGGAUGAUAAGCAACACUGGAACUGAGACACGGUCCAGACUCCUACGGGAGGCAGCAGUGGGGAAUAUUGGACAAUGGGCGCAAGCCUGAUCCAGCCAUACCGCGUGGGUGAAGAAGGCCUUCGGGUUGUAAAGCCCUUUUGUUGGGAAAGAAAAGCAGCAGGUUAAUACCCCGCUGUUCUGACGGUACCCAAAGAAUAAGCACCGGCUAACUUCGUG
rnacentral:rRNA from 1 species